GUCGCAGGUUCGAAUCCUGCACGACCCACCAAUUUCAGCAUUUAACUCAGAUGCUGAACGUGAAGGAUAACGUUGCGUCAGCAACGGCCCGAGGGGCGAGGCAAAGCCGAGUCAUCCUGCACGACCUACCA
rnacentral:sRNA from 1 species